rnacentral:rRNA from 1 species
ACGGGAGGCAGCAGUGAGGAAUAUUGGUCAAUGGACGAGAGUCUGAACCAGCCAAGUAGCGUGAAGGAUGACUGCCCUAUGGGUUGUAAACUUCUUUUGUUCGGGAAUAAAAAAGGUUACGUGUAACCUAUUGUAUGUACCGUUCGAAUAAGCAUCGGCUAAUUCCGUGCCAGCAGCCGCGGUAAUACGGAAGAUGCGAGCGUUAUCCGGAUUUAUUGGGUUUAAAGGGAGCGUAGGCGGAAUGUUAAGUCAGCGGUCAAAUGGCGAUGCUCAACGUCGUCCUGCCGUUGAUACUGGCAUUCUUGAGUGCACACAAGGUGGAUGGAAUUCGUGGUGUAGCGGUGAAAUGCUUAGAUAUCACGAAGAACUCCGAUUGCGAAGGCAGUUCACUGGGGUGCUACUGACGCUGAGGCUCGAAAGUGCGGGUAUCAAACAGGAUUAGAUACCCUGGUA